rnacentral:rRNA from 1 species
AUUGAACGCUGGCGGCAGGCCUAACACAUGCAAGUCGAGCGAGCGGCGGACGGGUGAGUAAUGUAUGGGAAACUGCCUGAUGGAGGGGGAUAACUACUGGAAACGGUAGCUAAUACCGCAUACCAUCAGAUGUGCCCAGAUGGGAGUAGCUAGUAGGUGGGGUAACGGCUCACCUAGGCGACGAUCCCUAGCUGGUCUGGGAGGAUGAUCAGCCACACUGUAACUGAGACACGGCCCAGACUCCUACGGGAGGCAGCAGUGGGGAAUAGUGCACAAGGGGCGCAAGCCUGAUGCAGCCAUGCCGCGUGUGUGAAGAAGGCCUUCGGGUUGUAAAGCACUUUCAGCAGGGAGGCGUUACCCGCAGAAGAAGCACCGGCUAACUCCGUGCCAGCAGCCGCGGUAAUAC